rnacentral:rRNA from 1 species
CAAGAGCGUAUAUUAAAGUUGUUGCAGUUAAAAAGCUCGUAGUUGGAUUUCUGGGAGGGUGCCAAUGUCCGCCGACGUGCGUGCGCAGCGGCGCCCUUCCAUCCUUCUGUUAACGCCUCUUGGCAUUCAUUUGCUGGUGGCGGGCUCAGAUAUUUUUACCUUGAGAAAUUAGAGUGUUUCAGGCAGGCUAGGCCGGAAUACAUUAGCAUGGAAUAAUGGAAUAGGACUACGGUCUCUUUGUUGGUUUGAGGGACUGCAGUAAUGAUUAAUAGGGAUAGUUGGGGGCAUUAGUAUUUAAUUGUCAGAGGUGGAAUUCUCGGAUUUGUUAAAGACUAACUUAUGCGAAAGCAUUUGCCAAGGAUGUUUUCAUUAAUCAAGAACGAAAGUUAGGGGAU